rnacentral:rRNA from 1 species
UACGUAGGGACCGAGCGUUGUCAGGAAUCAUUGGGUGUAAAGGGUCCGCAGGCGGAUGUGUAAGUCGGAGGUGAAAUCUUCCCGCUCAACGGGAAAACUGCUUUCGAUUCUGCACGUCUUGAGUACGGGAGAGGGUGGUGGAAUUCCUGGUGUAGCGGUGAAAUGCGUAGAUAUCAGGAAGAACACCGGUAGCGAAGGCGGCCACCUGGCCCGUUACUGACGCUCAGGGACGAAAGCGUGGGGAGCAAACAGG